UACGGAGGGUGCAAGCGUUAUCCGGAUUCACUGGGGUUAAAGGGUGCGUAGGUGGGCUGGUAAGUCAGUGGUGAAAUCUCCGAGCUUAACUCGGAAACUGCCAUUGAUACUAUCAGUCUUGAAUUUUCUGGAGGUAAGCGGAAUAUGUCAUGUAGCGGUGAAAUGCUUAGAUAUGACAUAGAACACCAAUUGCGAAGGCAGCUUACUACACAGUUAUUGACACUGAGGCACGAAAGCGUGGGGAUCAAACAGG
rnacentral:rRNA from 1 species